GGCAAGAUGGCCGAGCACGGUCAUGGCGCUACGUUCAGGGAAAUUACCUAAAUCGUAGUGGAGAAAUCCGCCUGGGUUCAAAUCCCAGUCUUGUCA
rnacentral:tRNA from 2 species